rnacentral:rRNA from 1 species
AUUGCCUCAGUACGGCGAGUGAGCGGCAAAAGCUCAAAUUUGAAAUCUAGCACUUUCAGUGUUCGAGUUGUAAUUUGAAGAAGGUAACUUUGGUUUUGGCUCUUGUCUAUGUUCCUUGGAACAGGACGUCACAGAGGGUGAGAAUCCCGUGCGAUGAGAUGCCCAAUUCCAUGUAAAGUGCUUUCGAAGAGUCGAGUUGUUUGGGAAUGCAGCUCUAAGUGGGUGGUAAAUUCCAUCUAAAGCUAAAUAUUGGCGAGAGACCGAUAGCGAACAAGUACAGUGAUGGAAAGAUGAAAAGAACUUUGAAAAGAGAGUGAAAAAGUACGUGAAAUUGUUGAAAGGGAAGGGCUUGAGAUCAGACUUGGUAUUUUGCGUUCCCUUCCUUUUUGGUUGGGUUCCUCGCAGUUUACUGGGCCAGCAUCGGUUUGGAUGGUAGGAUAAUGACAUUGGAAUGUAGCUUUACUUCGGUGAAGUGUUAUAGACUUUGUUGAUACUGCCUAUCUAGACCGAGGACUGCGUCUUUGACUAGGAUGCUGGCGUAAUGAUCUUAAGCCGCCCGUCUUGA